CUUGGGAGAGACCUGGCUUCCUCCUUUUCCAACAGCCCGUAGCUCUUUCAAGACACUUUCUAUGAUAGCUUCAAAAUACUUCAAUAACACAUGGAUCUGAUUCAUGCUCUGCAACAUCGGGGCACUUGUCUUCAGCAGCUGGAGCACACCAGAAUUGACACGAGCUGACAGAAGCUUCACAGUGACAGGGUUUAAACUGUGCUGGGGAAGAGAACGUUGUUCUAAAGCCAGGAACCAACUCUCCAGUGUUGGAUGUUUGAAAAUCAGCAUUAACAUAUCUUCUAGGGUCUUGUCAUUUAAAGACUCCUCUGUAAUCAGAGACUCUUCAUCCAUAAAGAGAUCCGAUUCAGUCUGAUGCUUUUCUUGUUUCUGCCGAUUAUCCAACUCUAUCUGAUUUCCCCGGCACAACAAGCUGUUCAGCAGGUCCACAAAGAGGUCAACA
rnacentral:lncRNA from 1 species